rnacentral:lncRNA from 1 species
AGAUGCGCUGUUAAAAGUCAUUUUUGGCGUAGUGCAACAAAUAUUCCCAAAAGAAAAAAUAAUAGUAGAACAUCUUGCAACAAAAAAUAUGUUAUUUCUUUCCUCAAUCCUCCAAAAAUAUUCCAAAAUCAAUCUCAAAUUAAAACCAGAUCAAACACUAAUUUUCCUUCACAAAUAAAAAUAGAAAAAAAUCAUAAUAUUUUUUUACCACCUAUUACUUUGUAGUUUAUUUCUCUUUUUGUUUUUAACUUUAUAAUUUUUCUAUAUUUCU